GAGAUUUAUCCUGGCUCAGGAUGAACGCUGGCGGCGUGCUUAACACAUGCAAGUCGAACGAUGAUCCCUAGCUUGCUGGGGGGAUUAGUGGCGAACGGGUGAGUAACACGUGAGUAACCUGCCCUUGACUCUGGGAUAAGCCUGGGAAACUGGGUCUAAUACUGGAUACGACCUUCCAUCGCAUGGUGGUUGGUGGAAAGCUUUUGUGGUUUUGGAUGGACUCGCGGCCUAUCAGCUUGUUGGUGGGGUAAUGGCCUACCAAGGCGACGACGGGUAGCCGGCCUGAGAGGGUGGACGGCCACACUGGGACUGAGACACGGCCCAGACUCCUACGGGAGGCAGCAGUGGGGAAUAUUGCACAAUGGGCGCAAGCCUGAUGCAGCGACGCCGCGUGAGGGAUGAAGGCCUUCGGGUUGUAAACCUCUUUCAGUAGGGAAGAAGCGAAAGUGACGGUACCUGCAGAAGAAGCGCCGGCUAACUACGUGCCAGCAG
rnacentral:rRNA from 1 species